AUUGAACGCUAGCGGGAUGCUUUACACAUGCAAGUCGAACGGCAGCGCGGACUUCGGUCUGGCGGCGAGUGGCGAACGGGUGAGUAAUGUAUCGGAACGUGCCCAGUAGCGGGGGAUAACUACACGAAAGCGUAGCUAAUACCGCAUACGCCCUACGGGGGAAAGCAGGGGAUCGUAAGACCUUGCACUAUUGGAGCGGCCGAUAUCGGAUUAGCUAGUUGGUGAGGUAACGGCUCACCAAGGCGACGAUCCGUAGCUGGUUUGAGAGGACGACCAGCCACACUGGGACUGAGACACGGCCCAGACUCCUACGGGAGGCAGCAGUGGGGAAUUUUGGACAAUGGGGGCAACCCUGAUCCAGCCAUCCCGCGUGUGCGAUGAAGGCCUUCGGGUUGUAAAGCACUUUUGGCAGGAAAGAAACGUCGCGGGCUAAUACCCCGUGGAACUGACGGUACCUGCAGAAUAAGCACCGGCUAACUACGUG
rnacentral:rRNA from 1 species